GAAACAUGCACAUUAAUGGAAUAUAUCACCUGUCAUUAUGCAAAAUCUUUGCUUUGAAGACUAAAUGAGGAAACAGGCCUAAAAGCAAGAGGUACUUCCUCUCAUAGGGAAGAAGUCUACCCCUCCAGGCACACAUCUUAUUAUGUGGAGUCAGAUAUGUGAACACAUCUACUGGUUUUCUGGUUGCAGCAGCAGCGCGAGCGGGAGCUUGGAGCAGGGGCCUGUCGGGAAGCCGGAAUACACAAGAAAAGGGGUCGAAAAUCAGCUGUAAUGACUUGUCUCAGUGUAGUAAAGUGCUGGUGUCCAGAUGUGUUAGCUUGGGAUUCAUUUUCCACUUGCCAAAGUGUGCUAUGAAGGACCACAGUGGAGAACUUCCACUAGCAAUCUGUGGAUGUGCAGGUGAUAAGACUCAAAUCUGUGUCUUCGAUUCCUGAAAAGAAAUUAUUAGUAAAGCUACUGGUGGCAAAACCUGAACAAACUCUGUUCAGCCAACUGCAGACCCAAGAAUCUUUAGACAACUACUCAACUCUCAAAGUCACUGAGGCAAGAUAAACAUCGUAAUGGCUGCAAUGUUUCACUAACUAUUCAUCUCAGACAAGCCAAUUCAUUUUUUUUUCUAACAUGUACCUUUGGACUCACCACCCAUUUAUAAUCUCUGAGUAUACACGCUGUGUUUUAUUAACUUUUCUCAUGAGUUAGUAGCUAAUAAACUCAUUCUUACUUUAUUACUGUUUGUGCAGCUGGGAGGUGGGCCGAGCAAGUGAAUAGGCAGCAUAGAGGGCCUGUGGGAUUAAUAGUGCCAGGAGUUGGGAUGGGUGACAGCAAGUGAGGGAAGAUGUUGCAGCCAAUAAUGGGAAUGGUGGAUCAUAUGUCUUAAUGUGAGAUGGGUACAGUAGCAGAGAAAGAUUGAGAGUAAGGUAUCGGACAGAAGUUGGUGGCAUUUAAACUAGCAAAGCAGAGACAGACAUUGUUCUUCUCCCUACAGUGCUGGGCAUUUCUCCAGACAGAAAAAAAACUGCUUUAACGUGGGUCGUUACCUUGGACUAGGCUGGCAUACUCUGGUGACAUGACUCCAUUGCUGAUCCUAGGAAUGGAAGGAGCCCUGCCUUGAUA